UACGUAGGUGGCAAGCGUUAUCCGGAUUUAUUGGGCGUAAAGAGAACGCAGGCGGUCUUUUAAGUCUGAUGUGAAAGCCUUCGGCUUAACCGGAGUAGUGCAUUGGAAACUGGGAGACUUAAGUGCAGAAGAGGAGAGUGGAACUCCAUGUGUAGCGGUGAAAUGCGUAGAUAUAUGGAAGAACACCAGUGGCGAAAGCGGCUCUCUGGUCUGUAACUGACGCUGAGGUUCGAAAGCGUGGGUAGCAAACAGG
rnacentral:rRNA from 1 species